AUUCAUUAUGGGCCAGGCAUUGAGUAGAGGUGAAAAGAUGACAAAGUGUGUCUCUGUGUUUAAAGAACUCCAAGUCCUCUGGAAAACUAACAAUUGACAUAAGAAUCUGCUCCCUAAGGUUUUUCUUAAACUUUUGAUCAGGUUUCAGAAAAGUAGCGCUUAAGCAUCUCUUCACGACCAUGAAGCUCGAAUUCUGGAAGUUUAGGAGGAAUUCACAGCCUUUCACUUUUGGCAUAGACAUCCUGAGAACUUGUGCAAACCCGAAGAAGGGUAAGCUCCCAGAAUCCUGCUGUGGAUAUGAUCAUAGAAGACAAUCUCCCAGAGAGCACAGAGGAAAGGAGGCGAGAGAGUCACUGCAAGGAAGCAGAAUGAGGACAUAAUUGUGAUGCGAGUGUGCAUUGUUUCCAUCUUUUGUUUAUAUAGAUAACACUGCUGUGAACAUUUAUGACUAAGGUUUGGGAAGAACAUACGUUUUCAAAUCUUUUGAGUUCAUACCAAGGAAGGGAGCUGCUCAGUAAAAUACGUUCGAUUUUUUGAAGUGCUACCAAACAUUUCCAAAGUGGCUACACUGUUUCCUCU
rnacentral:lncRNA from 10 species